rnacentral:ncRNA from 1 species
AAACAUAAAGGUUUGUUCCUGGCCUUCCCAUUAACUAUUAACAAGAUUACACAUGCAAGCUUCCACAUCCCAGUGAAAUGCCCUCUAAAUCCUCAGACGAUUAAAAGGAGCAGGUAUCAAGCACACUAAUAUAGUAGCUCAUAAUACCUUGUUCAGCCACACUACCACGGGAUACAGCAGUGAUAAAAAUUAAGCUAUGAACGAAAGUUCGACUAAGCUAUGUAAAAAGUGUUGGUAAAUUUCGUGCCAGCCACCGCAGUCAUACAAUUAACCCAAGUGAAUAGGUUCACAGCGUAAGGCGUGUAAAAGAAUUAACCUAUCACUAAAGUUAAAGUUUAAUCGGGCUGUAAAUAGCAACUGUUAAUACUAAAAUAAACUACGAAAGUGACUUUAAUACUUCUGACUACACGAUAGCUAACACCCAAACUGGGAUUAGAUACCCCACUAUGCUUAGCCCUAAACAUAAAUAAUUCACUCAACAAAAUUACUCGCCAGAGAAUUACUAGCAACAGCUUAAAACUCAAAGGACUUGGCAGUGCUUUAUACCCCCUCUAGAGCAGCCUGUUUUAUAAUAAAUAAACCCCAAUAAAUCUCACCACCCCUUGCUAAUCUAGUCUAUAUACCACCAUCUUCAGCAAACCCCUAAAAAGAAAAAAAAAAAAACUAAGCACAAUCAUUAUACAUAAAAAAGUUAAGUCAAGGUGUAACCUAUGAGGUUGGAGGAAAUGGGCCACAUUUUCUACAUAGGAACAAUCCACAUAAAAAUUUUUAUGAAACUAAAAAUUAAAGGCAGAUUUAGUAGUAAAUUAAGAAUAAAGAACUUAAUUGAAUAUGGCAAUGAAGCACGCACACACUGCCUGUCACCCUCCUCAAGUGUUAUAAACUUAAACAUAACCUAUUAAAACCAAACAAAACAUAAGAGGAGAUAUAUCGUAACGAGGUAAGCAUAGUGGAAAGUGUGCUUGGAUAAAUCAAUGU